AUGAACGCUGGCGGCGUGCCUAAUACAUGCAAGUCGAACGAGGUGCUUUUGUAGCAAUACGAGAGUAUCCUAGUGGCGAACGGGUGAGUAACGCGUUGGUGACCUACCCCAAAGUGUGGGAUAACAGUCCGAAGGACUGCUAAUACCGCAUGUGGUUAUUGGAUUUAGAAACCGGUAACUAAAGGAGCAAUUCGCUUUGGGAGGGACCUGCGUCCCAUCAGCUAGUUGGUGAGGUAAUGGCUCACCAAGGCGACGACGGGUAGGGGACCUGAGAGGGUGGCCCCCCCACAAUGGAACUGAAACACGGUCCAUACACCUACGGGUGGCAGCAGUAGGGAAUAUUGCUCAAUGGGCGAAAGCCUGAAGCAGCAACGCCGCGUGUGUGAUGAAGGCCUAUCGGGUCAUAAAGCACUUUUCUGGGAGAUGAGAAAGGACAGUAUCCCAGGAAUAAGUCUCGGCUAACUACGUGCCAGCAGCCGCGGUAAAACGUAGGAGGCAGGCGUUAUCCGGAUUCACUGGGCGUAAAGCGCGUGCAGGUGGCGUGGUAAGUUGGAUGUGAAAUCUCCCGGCUCAACUGGGAGAGGUCAUUCAAUACUACCGUGCUUGAGAGCAGAAGAGGAAGAUGGAAUUCCCGGUGUAGUGGUGAAAAUGCGUAGAUAUCGGGAGGAACACCAGUGGCGAAGGCGAUCUUCUGGUCUGUUUCUGACACUCAGACGCGACAGCUAGGGUAGUAAACGGGAUUAGAGACCCCGGUAAUCCUAGCCGUAAACGAUGUGAACUUGGCGUUGGUGGGUUAAACUCCAUCAGUGCCGUAGCAAACGCGAUAAGUUCACCGCCUGGGGACUACGGCCGCAAGGUUAAUAAACUCAAAGGAAUUGACGGGGGCCCGCACAAGCAGCGGAGCGUGUGGUUUAAUUCGAUGCUACACGAAGAACCUUACCCAGGCUUGACAUACAGGUGGUAGGGAUCCGAAAGGUGACCGACCCGCAAGGGAGCCUGAACAGGUGUUGCAUGGCUGUCGUCAGCUCGUGUCGUGAGAUGUUCGGUUAAGUCCGCUAACGAGCGCAACCCUCGCUGCGUGUUACAAGUGUCACGCAGGACCGCCGGUAUUAAGCCGGAGGAAGGUGGGGAUGACGUCAAGUCAGCAUGGCCUUUAUGCCUGGGGCUACACACACGCUACAAUGGGCAGUACAAUGGGUUGCUAAGCCGCGAGGUGGAGCCAAUCCCCCAAAACUGUCCUCAGUUCAGAUUGCAGGCUGCAACUCGCCUGCAUGAAGCCGGAGUUGCUAGUAAACGCGCGUCAGCUAUAGUGCGUUGAAUACGUUCUCGGGCCUUGUACACACCGCCCGUCACGUCAUGGGAGCUGGUAACACCUGAAGCCGGUAGCCUAACCGCAAGGAGGGCGCCGUCGAAGGUGGGGCUGGUGACUGGGACG
rnacentral:rRNA from 1 species